rnacentral:lncRNA from 1 species
CUGCAUUACUGGUCAAAUGAUCCACCUCCCUAAUCGUUUAGAAAUUUGAGAGAGAUCCAUACACUUGCACACAAGUUAAUGUCUGGAAACUACAAAAAUGCUUUUUUUGGCCCCCAAUUAAUAAACUGUUGGUACCAUAGCCCCCAAAUUCAAUCCCAACCUUCCCUAUAUGGUAUUUAACCUUCUUUUAAAAUUUUAUAAAGACUCAUUCACUUUAACUUAAGUUGUUGUCUGGAAACCAAAUGUGUCUUCGGACGCUGACGAAAACAUCAUAGCAUUAUACAAAAUCCUAAAAAAUUCUGUGCGGUCUUAUAAAAAUUUGGAAGUACCUUUUGGGGUAAACAUGUUUAAUUUUGUUAGUUUGUAGAUCAUAUAGAUGUUAUGAAUCAAUUAUAUCAAAGAACUCAGGCUUCAAUCACAGUAAAGUAUACAUUUCAAAGUAUCUUAUUUUCAAUUUCAUAUAUAUAUAUUCAAAGUGAAGCAAGCUUAAAAUAGAACUUAGGAGGGUACUGUUCUCAACCAAUAUCAGGUUUCUAUCCUUGUUUCCCUAUGCAUUGUAAAUAAGUACAUGAAUUAAACAACAACAACAAAUAAAUGUACAAAUUGUUAAAUAAGAAAAAUUAUAAAAAAAUAAUUAAAUUAUAUGUAUAUAAAUAAUGGUAGUCAUAUAUAGUGCCCUAAAUGUUUGAUUCAAGAUUAAGUAAAUAGUAAUGAUAACAUUUAAAAAGUGGCUUCUACAGGUUCUAAGGAGCCUAUAUAGUUCACCUGGUAUUUUUGUUUUUCAAUAUGUAUUAAUCAGUGCUUUGCUUUUGCGUCAAUUGGCAUUUCAUUUGCGCCAAAAAAAUCUUUCAUUUGCGCCACAAACCAUAUUUCAUUUGCGCCAUUUUACUGGUAAACACAGGUAUAUAGUUAAUUAAUGUUGUUUUCUUCCAUUCGCCCCAAAAAAUGAUGAUUACAGGGUAUUUACAAAGAGGAUAAAUGAAGAAUUGUACCUGUUUGCUCUAAAAAAAAAAAAAAAACUAAAUUUAUUAAAAUUGAUUUAAAAAUAUGUAAUAUGAUUGCCAAAAAAAAUGAAACAACUCUCUACAAGAAACAAAAUGACAUAGAAAUUAACAACUAUAGAUCAUCGUAUGGCCUUUGACAAUGAAAGCCCUUACCGUAUAGUCGAUAUUAAAGGCCCCAAACUGACAAAUGUAAAACAAUAAGAAUGAGAAAACUAACAUACUAUGGUAAUAUAAAUAUUUAAAGUCAUAAGAAACCUCAAAAUUAAAAAAAAUAUGCAUAUGUCUUUUAUGACUAUAUGGAAAGUUUCAUUAUCACAUAUUUGUUAUGAAUACCUUAGGUUUUUACCAUGGCAUUUAAUGAGAAGCCAUAUUUGUUAAAUCAUAACAGGCAGAGAGAAAAAAUUGACGAUUAUACAAUAUAUUUGCAUAAAAAAUGAUAAAAUCGUGCACAAAGGACUAAGUUUAUGAUAUAUACAUACAUUGGAUCAAGAAUAGGAUAAACAUUAUUUUUCACCACUCACUCAUUUCAUAUGACUAAUUUAUUCUCUGUUUGAUUUGAAAAUAAUAUUUCGACAAGCAUGUUCAUUCUAAGUUUUAAUAAUUGUUUUUUUUUUUUGUCUUCUGGCUUUCCAAAUUUUUCAGAACAUAUGAUAACAUAUAUGUGUGUCCAUCCUAAAAUACAGACCAUUUUGUUUGUUUGUCUCUAAAUUGACAAUAUUAAUGUCCAUCUUGACACCUCAAACUAUAUAAUUCCAAACCUUAGUGACUCUCAGUUUUGUAUUAGAAAUGUGUAUGAACUCCUUCAGUUCUCCAGGGGGAAUAUUGUAAACACAAAUGUUAUUCACGGAUAUUGAACUUUUCCUCUAUACAAUACAUGUAAAAUGGUGUAAAUGAAGUUUUUAUUUUUGGCGCAAAUGAAAUAUAACCUUGUGGCGCAAAUGAAAGAUUGGAUUUUUGAAAAAAUUGGUGCAAAUGCAAUGCGCCCAUAUUAAUGAGUGGCUUAAAAAUGCCAUUUAAAUGUUCAUUGUAUCGGUCAUAUUUUCUUCAAAAGCAUAUAAAUGCAUUUUACCCAUAUGUUCCAUUUUAGCCAGUGUCAGUUGGACAUGAUUUACAAUUGAGAUUUCUCAACUAUAUUCCACUAUGAUCUUUAAUAUAAAUAUAUAUACCAAAAGUGCGCAUAUUCAGAGCACAGAGUCUGACUUCUUCCUUCUACAGUGUACAAUUUCAAGGUGGAAUUUUU